UGGGGAAUAUUGCACAAUGGGCGAAAGCCUGAUGCAGCGACGCCGCGUGAGGGAUGACGGCCUUCGGGUUGUAAACCUCUUUCAGCAGGGACGAAGCGCAAGUGACGGUACCUGCAGAAGAAGCACCGGCCAACUACGUGCCAGCAGCCGCGGUAAUACGUAGGGUGCAAGCGUUGUCCGGAAUUACUGGGCGUAAAGAGUUCGUAGGCGGUUUGUCGCGUCGUUUGUAAAAACCAGCAGCUCAACUGUUUGCUUGCAGGCGAUACGGGCAGACUUGUGUACUGCAGGGGAGUCUGGAAUUCCUGGUGUAGCGGUGAAAUGCGCAGAUAUCAGGAGGAACACCGGUGGCGAAGGCGGGUCUCUGGGCAGUAACUGACGCUGAGGAACGAAAGCGUGGGUAGCGAACAGG
rnacentral:rRNA from 1 species